CAUUGCCCAUGGGCCCAGGAGCCCUAUUUAAGCUCAGGCUCAGCACUUCAGCUCUUUUAGACCUUGCUGGAGGUGCAUGUGCUUCUUGUCCUGUUACUUGGUGUUACUGGAUAGCUUGCAUAGGGGUUCUGACUUGAUGACCCUGUGCCACGUGCUAAACACUGCCAGGCCUGCUUUGUGGUUGCCCUCAACUCUAGGUUUGGUUUCUCCUGGGGACUAAUCUUAUUCAUAGGUGUUUUGGGAGCAGGAAUGAGAUAUGUGUUCAUUAAAUGCCUACCUGCAGAAGAAAAUCGAAGACUGCCAUCUUGGACCACUCAUGGUGAUGGAUUUCAGUGCAGCCCCACUCAUCUUUGGGAACUUUACCAUUCUGCCAGCAUUUCCGCUUCAGUAGUUGCUGAUAUUUUCCCCAGGCAACGUGCUCCAUGGCACCUUCUUCAGAGGCAACCUGGAUUGAUGUCAG